UUAACUGUUAGACAAUAAACAUGCUGGCCUAGUGGGAGUACCCAAAACCCCCUUUCAGGAUGCCAGAUGGGAGGAGCUGAGGGAAAGAGUACUUAUUUCAGUCCACAUCUGACAGAUUGUUUUCCUCUGCCUGCAACCUGACCACAGAGAAGAAGUAAGAACUGUUGUCAGGAGGGAGCUGCUAAGUGGCAAAGGGAAGAGCCCUCAGGAUAGGACUGUGGGUUUUAUCUGUGCACACCUUCUCCGAGAAUGAACCACUCUCAUGCUACAAAGUCUUGUGUGCUCUUCCUGCUUCUGGCCCUACUGUGUGCACAAAGAGCUCAGGGGCUGCAGUGCUACAAUUGCCCAGAGGUCCCAUUUGAGGCUUCAUGCACAUCAAAAGCAACCUGCCCCUACUCUAAUGGAGUCUGUGUGACUCAGGUGGCAGAAUUUACUGUGGGUAAGUGAACUAUAAAAAAAAAUGAGUGAGGUUGGCUUUAGACAAAAGGUAAUGCCUGGACACUUGUUAUAUACCUUGGUUCCCCUCACUCCUAGUUGAGCUGUCCUGGGGUUGGAGUGGUACUCCUUCACACUGGGGGAUGUCGGGGUCCAGGGAUGUGCUGGGAUGGGGAUCAUGAGACAGGGCUGCCCAUUGGCAUGCAUGGUGUUCAUCAUCCCCCUGUGUCACCAGUGUAGUCAUGUGAUGCUCCUGCCUGUAUGUUGUGUCUGAGGUCUCACAGGCUCACUGAUGGACCAGGAGAACUGGAAGCAUUGAGUGAGUCUGCAUUUAAUGAAGGAAUCUGGGGCUUAGGCUAAAGGACUGACUUAGGAAUGUUGAUAGAAGAGACCCUAGGACAUUUCAGAUCCUCCAAAGUGCCAGUUUCCAGGCAUAUCCUCCACAUAGACAAGGCAGGAGCAGCCCCUCCCUGCUAUCCAGUUUCCUGUUCUGACCACAGCCUGCCUGUCUCCUGGAGCAGGUCUCCUGGAUAUAACUGCCUGGGGGACUCAGGAGUCUGAGAGGCUGGUUGCCCUUCGUGCUGUGCUAGUGGGUGAUCUUAUACUGUGCUGUGUCUUUGUGGUGAGUGUGUGUGUGUGUGUGUGUGUGCGUGUGUGUGUGUGUGUUUGCAUGCAUGUGUGUUAAUGUGGGUGCACAUAUAUGAAUGUUUGUAAUAUAAGGUGUGUAAUACUCAGGGGGGCCAUCCUUAAGUACCAUUCCUUAGAC